rnacentral:rRNA from 1 species
AGCGUCGUGCUUAUACUCUGCCGUCGGGACAGUAGUGAUAUCUUUACUACUCUCCGGGGUGUAAAAUAUCGUCAGGUCUCGACGAGUAGGUGGGCCGCGGCGGUGAGCGCAGAAGGACUGGGCGUAGGCCCGUCUGGAGCCGCCGUCGGUGCAGAUCUUGGUGGUAGUAGCAAAUACUCCAGCGAGGCCCUGGAGGACUGACGUGGAGAAGGGUUUCGUGUGAACAGCCGUUGCACACGAGUCAGUCGAUCCUAAGCCCUAGGAGAAAUCCGAUGUUAAUGCAGUUGUGUCUUUAUUAUAUGAUGACAUUUGGUGUGAGAGUUUCAAACAGUUGACGAUUAUACUUUGAUACAGUUGCAAUAUAAUGAUGCUGACUGAUUUAUCAAUACUAUCGCGAUCCCCGAUAUGAACGUUCAUAAGUUUAGUACACUACUUCUGCUGUUUCGCACAGUUGGUCGUAGACUCUGACUUGUUCAAUGUCUGGUGUGCGGUUUACAUGAUAGUUGAAACACAUCUUUUUAUUAUGUUGAAAAGUGUCUUCUGUCUCUAUCCACUAAUAAAUCGUUGUUAGAGAAGUAUCACACUCAUUGGGCGAAAGGGAAUCCGGUUCCUAUUCCGGAACCCGGCAGCGGAACCGUUUACAAGUCGGGCCCUCUUUAGAGAGUUCGUCGGGGCAACCCAACAAGACCUGGAGACGCCGUCGGGAGAUCCGGGAAGAGUUUUCUUUUCUGUAUGAGCGUUCGAGUUCCCUGGAAUCCUCUAGCAGGGAGAUAGGGUUUGGAACGCGAAGAGCACCGCAGUUGCGGCGGUGUCUGGAUCGUCCCCUCGGACCUUGAAAAUCCAGGAGAGGGCCACGUGGAGGUGUCGCGCCGGUUCG